UACGAAGGGGCUAGCGUUGCUCGGAAUCACUGGGCGUAAAGGUGCGUAGGCGGGUCUUUAAGUCAGGGUGAAUCCUGGAGCUCAACUCCAGAACUGCCUUUGAUACUGAAGAUCUUGAGUUCGGAGAGGUGAGUGGAACUGCGAGUGUAGAGGUGAAAUUCGUAGAUAUUCGCAAGAACACCAGUGGCGAAGGCGGCUCACUGGCCCGAUACUGACGCUG
rnacentral:rRNA from 1 species